rnacentral:rRNA from 1 species
CCUACGGGUGGCAGCAGUGAGGAAUAUUGGUCAAUGGUCGGAAGACUGAACCAGCCAUGCCGCGUGCAGGAAGACGGCCUUAUGGGUUGUAAACUGCUUUUGCAAGGGAAGAAUAAGCUCUACGAGUAGAGUGAUGACGGUACUUUGCGAAUAAGCAUCGGCUAACUCCGUGCCAGCAGCCGCGGUAAUACGGAGGAUGCGAGCGUUAUCCGGAAUCAUUGGGUUUAAAGGGUCUGUAGGCGGGUUGUUAAGUCAGGGGUGAAAGUUUGCGGCUUAACCGUAAAAUUGCCUUUGAUACUGGCUAUCUUGAAUUAUUGUGAAGUUGUUAGAAUGUGUAGUGUAGCGGUGAAAUGCAUAGAUAUUACACAGAAUACCGAUUGCGAAGGCAGAUGACUAACAAUAGAUUGACGCUGAGAGACGAAAGCGUGGGGAGCGAAC